AGGACGAACGCUGGCGGCGUGCUUAACACAUGCAAGUCGAGCGGAAAGGCCCUUCGGGGGUACUCGAGCGGCGAACGGGUGAGUAACACGUGAGCAACCUGCCCCUGGCUCUGGGAUAGCCUCCGGAAACGGGGAUUAAUACCGGAUAUUCACUGUCUCCUGCAUGGGGGGGUGGUGGAAAGUUUUUCGGCUAGGGCGGGGCUCGCGGCCUAUCAGCUUGUUGGGGGGGUGACGGCCCACCAAGGCGACGACGGGUAG
rnacentral:rRNA from 1 species